rnacentral:rRNA from 1 species
UACGGAGGGUGCAAGCGUUAUCCGGAUUUACUGGGUUUAAAGGGUGUGUAGGCGGGCUUUUAAGUCAGUGGUGAAAUCUCCGGGCUCAACCCGGAAACUGCCAUUGAUACUAUUAGUCUUGAAUUUUGUUGAGGUAGGCGGAAUAAGUCAUGUAGCGGUGAAAUGCAUAGAUAUGACUUAGAACACCAAUUGCGAAGGCAGCUUGCUAAACAAAUAUUGACGCUGAGGCGCGAAAGCGUGGGGAUCAAACAGG